rnacentral:rRNA from 1 species
GAUGAACGCUGGCGGCGUGCCUAAUACAUGCAAGUCGAGCGAACAGACGAGGAGCUUGCUCCUCUGACGUUAGCGGCGGACGGGUGAGUAACACGUGGAUAACCUACCUAUAAGACUGGGAUAACUUCGGGAAACCGGAGCUAAUACCGGAUAAUAUAUGGAACCGCAUGGUUCAAUAGUGAAAGACGGUUUUGCUGUCACUUAUAGAUGGAUCCGCGCCGCAUUAGCGAGUUGGUAAGGUAACGGCUUACCAAGGCAGUGAUGCGUAGCCGACCUGAGAGGGUGAUCGGCCACACUGGAACUGAGAGACGGUCCAGACUCCUACGGGAGGCAGCAGUAGGGAAUCUUCCGCAAUGGGCGAAAGCCUGACGGAGCAACGCCGCGUGAGUGAUGAAGGUCUGCGGAUCGUAAAACUCUGUUAUUAGGGAAGAACAAAUGUGUAAGUAACUAUGCACGUCUUGACGGUACCUAAUCAGAAAGCCACGGCUAACUACGUG